rnacentral:lncRNA from 1 species
CAUAAUCGUUUGUUCCAUCAUUAUAUCUGCCGCAUGAGUUCCAUCAUUUCACCCAUAUGUGUAUGAGAGCGUUCUUUUGACGAGCAGAAAAGUUCUGUUUGUUGUAGCUCUUCGCGACUGCAAUAAUGUAGUUUAUGCCAAGACCCGCAGUCGAAAAAUGGUCAGUAACUGGGUGAAGUCCGUACAUAUAAGAAUUUAAAAUCCAGUUGUAAGCUAUGUCGCACUUCUUAAUACCAGUUGAGAAUUUUUGUUUCAUUUUCUUUAAGAAAGAGGGCCAAGGACUCACCUAGGGAAGUUUGAUUUUUAGCCAUGGAAUUCCAUAUCGGACAAUGUAGUAAUAUUCUUUCAAAACUAGUCAUAGCAAAAAUCUGAGUUGUGGUGCAGAAAAAAAAAGAACAGUGUUCAAGAAAAUAAAUCGUAUUUCAUAUGACAUACAUGUAUCACUGUUUAACACCACCCGUUCGGUCGAAUUGUUAUCCUAGUGUAGCAGUUAACGGCUAGUGAAAGUGUAGUUUCUAAAGCUAACCAAAGUGCGAAUCACGUGACAUAUGUUGGGAGAGAACUCGUGUUCAUUCAGUAGGCAGUCAGUAAAGCACGAGGAAGGACGCAAAGUGAAGCAGCGAAGGACACAAAGCGGGGAAGAAAGGCUGAUGAGUCUAUGAUUGGUGAUCUACACCUUCUUCAUAACCCAAGUUUGAUCUGAUGUUUGCCAUAAUUCCAGCUGACUCUCACAGUGGUGAACUAGCUGUCAGAAUGGGAACCAGAACAAUUACCUCAGUGAAAGCCAAAACAUUUUCAUUGUUCAACUAGCCAAUGCUAAUCAUGUGACGAUUGUUGAGAGUGCAUGUUCAUUCAGCAGACAGUUGGUAAAGGACAAAAAAACGAACACAAAGCAAGGAAGGAAGGCUUGAGGGCAGAGACUUUCAUUAUUUCCAUGCAUGGAAACUGAAGUCCUUGUGUAGAGAUCUAGACACUUUGUUCCCAAGGUGAUGUGAUAUGGUGCGAAGUGUUGUGUAUGUCUUCUGCCUUCACUCUACUAGACCACUACUGCCUGGAUCUUCAGCAUCUCCAGUUAGUAUUGGAACUGUGAUGACACUGAUCAAAUAUUCUACAAUCUUCACCAUGGUUACGGUUGAAUUGUGAUUCCCACAUAGCAAUUGCUGUACAGAGUAAUGCCAGCAUGUAUGUUUUUCUAAGAAAGUGACAAAGUGUGUCAAGGCAGAAGCUGUGCAUCUGGACAGGAUGAGAGUGGUUGUAUUCCAAUGGCUUUAAGCAUGAAAUCACCUGGCCUUGUGCGGAAGACAUCUAUGAAUCGACCAACCAGAUGUAUACCUCUAAUUUAAACUCCUGAAAAUCCCCAUGGUUGUUGGUGGUGCAGACAGAAUGUGAGCCAGGAAGUACCUCUGUAAAAGCCCAGACAUUCCAUAUGCAGGAGUACCUUCAUUCUUCAAGUCUGUACAAGAGAUCUAUGUGAGGAUGAAAGCCAAGAUAAUACAAAGAUUCAGCACAUCAGUCCAACUGAAGGACCAAGUAUCCAUUGAUUCAGUUGCAUCUUAGCUAAGAAGUUAACUUGGAUCUGCUUCACAGGGAGUCAUUGAUGAUCAACUAAGUAGUAGGAUACAGUUUUCUGAUCAGAUGAAAUCGCUUUAUCUUAUCUGGCUGGAAUUUAAAGAGCUGAGACUACCAUUAGGAAAAUCUGCCAUGUAAUAACACUAACCCAGAACAUUGCUACUGAGUCUACCACACAGUAAUGUGGACAAGGACAUUGCUAGUAAGAGUUUCCAUGCAGUAACACUGACUUGAGUAGUCCACACAGGAAAAACACACAGUAACGUUGACUUAGGAUGUUGCUGCUGAGUAUUACACACUGUAAUACUGACCCCAAAGUGUAGCUUUUCUAUGGAAAAUUCAGACAGAUAACUGAAGUUACCUGUCAAUAGGUGCAAUGAAAUCUUUAUUAUCUGUUUAUGUUAACACUCCUGAUACUGAAGGCUGGACUCUGCUGAACACUGGGGAAAAAAAGUGGAGGUAAACAUGCAACUCACUGUGUGUGACAUUAGUGAAAAUUUUUUUAAUGUGACUGUGAUAUAUAGACAUCCAAAUUAUUUUAAGUAACAUUCAAGUAAUGGUCAAAGGUGGUAGUGAAAACUCAGUGAAUGUGACAUCAAAGUUUAGAUGACUGAGAAAGAAAGACAGUUAUACCUACUAGUAAAAAUCUAUAAGAUUAGAUAUUAAAAUAAUGUUAAAAAGUGACAGUAGGUACAGUAAAAUGUGAAUAAUAUGUGUUUUGAUUGAUGAUGUCAAAUAAUAAUGUGUAACUCAUUGUU